CAUCUCCUUUAGCCAACCCCCCCCCCAACCCCUGGAGUUAAAUGCUUUGAAUGCAUGGCUUCAUUCAUAACAAGAAUGUUGCAAGCAAUACAAAGAUUGCAAUUUUCCAGGUAGGAAGACUGAGGCCGAGAGAGAUACAGAAUGGAAUGGACCGGGUAAAGAUGGGAAAAGAGAGGCACAAGAAGACUGGGUAACAUGCUAUGUCUGCUUGCACAGAAGAGAAGCUGGGCUUCGAUGCCUGCUUGCCUCACACCAGAGCAUGGACUGGACUGUGACUCCGCAUCAUCUCUGCGUUGGAUGGAAGAGAAGUUGCUCAUUCUCCUCGAGAGACUGGGUUUCAACACGGCAGGCAGAGAACAUGGAGAAUCACAGAACAAAGUGAGGCAUGCAGUGAUGAAUGCCAGGCUCAUCCAGCAUUGCAGACAGACCUGACAGCUCCAUCCAUACAGCAAGCCAAAUUCAAAAUCACUCAUGAAGCAGCCUUCCAAUGCAGCCAGGCAACGGGGCAGAACAGACUGCAGACCUGUCCCCAGUUCUGGCUAAGUUACUUGUAAACACUGCAUUGAGUGUAAUUAUAUGGGUCUCCAUCAGGGGAA